rnacentral:rRNA from 1 species
UUAACGGAUCGCAUGGCCUUGCGCCGGCGACGGUUCAUUCAAAUUUCUGCCCUAUCAACUUUCGAUUGUAGGGUAUUGGCCUACAAUGGUAUCAACGGGUAACGGGGAAUUAGGGUUCGAUUCCGGAGAGGGAGCCUGAGAAACGGCUACCACAUCCAAGGAAGGCAGCAGGCGCGCAAAUUACCCAAUCCCGACACGGGGAGGUAGUGACAAUAAAUACUGAUACAGGGCUCUUUUGGGUCUUGUAAUUGGAAUGAGUACAAUUUAAAUCCCUUAACGAGGAACAAUUGGAGGGCAAGUCUGGUGCCAGCAGCCGCGGUAAUUCCAGCUCCAAUAGCGUAUAUUAAAGUUGUUGCAGUUAAAAAGCUCGUAGUUGAACCUUGGGUCUGGCUGGCCGGUCCGCCUCACCGCGUGCACUGGUCCGGCCGGACCUUUCCUUCUGGAGAACCGCAUGCCCUUCACUGGGUGUGCCGGGGAACCAGGACUUUUACUUUGAAAAAAUUAGAGUGUUCAAAGCAGGCCUUUGCUCGAAUACAUUAGCAUGGAAUAAUAGAAUAGGACGUGCGGUCCUAUUUUGUUGGUUUCUAGGACCGCCGUAAUGAUUAAUAGGGAUAGUCGGGGGCAUCAGUAUUCAAUUGUCAGAGGUGAAAUUCUUAGAUUUAUUGAAGACUAACUACUGCGAAAGCAUUUGCCAAGGAUGUUUUCAUUAAUCAGUGAACGAAAGUUAGGGGAUCGAAGACGAUCAGAUACCGUCGUAGUCUUAACCGUAAACUAUGCCGACUAGGGAUCGGGCGAUGUUAUUCUUUUGACUCGCUCGGCACCUUACGAGAA